AAGAAAAGUGCGAAAAUAAUCUUCAUCCACACUGCGAUGUGGAGCAUAAACCCUCCAAAAGCAACACAUGGGGCUUAAACUUGACAUGAUGCUCCUGAUUCACCAGCUGCACGUGUACAGAGUUGUAAACUUGCCUCGCACGUCAAGUUCGAUGACUGACACGGCACCUGACCAAUGGGAGGGAGAAGAGCGAACCAAACAACCAAUAAGCUUCCAGAUGGGUGGAAAUCAUGACUGACGGCCCUUCGCUGGCCGCCUUCUGCGCAGAGGAUGAUGGGGCUCGGGUCAAAAGGCAAGAGGCGCCAGAGAAGCUCGUGAUUACGCAGGUAUCCCAACAAUGUCCCGCUUUGUCUGCAGCAACAGGCAGUCGAAAGCAAGGAGUCACGAAAAGGUCACUUCGCUGGCAUAAUUUAUUUGAUAGAUGUCUGUCAAAGUGGGUUUGCUUUCCAAAACUGUCAGGCAACGCUUUUACUUUUCUU